AUUUCGCGAAGAAUUUCAGAACCUCCCUUUUUCGCCAUUUACCCGCAACCACCCUUGUUUCCAAUCUCUUCCUUUCUUCUUCUUUUACCUUCUCUCCUUACUUCCAUUCCCUCUUUCUUCCUUUCACGCUCUUUUCACAUUCCAUCCCUGCCGAGAUAUCACCGAGUAAAAAAUAUAUAUAUAUCUUUUUUCGUGGAAAUCGUGAUUUUUUUAUUAUCACUAAAUUAAAUUUAUUAUUAUUAAAUUAAGAGAGAAACAAAAUCGGAAAGAAGGAACGAUGGAAGAGCGAAUCGGUAGAGUGCGGGGAUUGGAAGAAGAGAAAAUAAUACGUAUAUACGACGGUAUAACGAACAGUGGCAGUGCUUCGAUCGCGGAUUAUACGCGUGGUUCCCUGACCCAAUUGUGCGGCUCGAGUACUUUUUUAGGCGUCGUCGAGAGUGCGGGGAGCUAGCAGGGAAAGAAAGCUAGAAAGGCUGUUUCCACCAGAGGAGGAGGUGGGGUUGGAUCUAGUUCUCGAGGGGUGUCGGUGAAGGGUGCCCUGGCGCAUGCGCCACCAGGACCAGCUGCGGACUUUCCGACCGGAUCGAGUCAUCGAGUUCUUUUCUUUUUUUUUUCUCCGCGAAAAUGCUCAAUGAAAAUCAUCGAGAAUCCACGGAAAACCCCGUUCGAAUCCCCAAUCUCGCUUAUCCCUUCUUCUCCACGAAACAAACCCCUAUCAUUUAUGCAAAACGUGAUGAAACUCUCUCUCUCUCCCUCCUCGUGACGCGUAACAAAGAAAACACAAGAAGACGUGAAAAAUAGAUAAUACAAAUAGUCAGAUUCGGUCGAAGAGUUGUUCGUAAAUUGGUGGUAAAUCGAAGGGGGAGGGUUGCGAUUCGUUUUUUGAUGUACUCGUUCUCCUCCUCGAGACAAGCUUAAUUCGAUCGAUCGUUCCAGCAGAAAAUAACGUCCGCAUGGAGACUUGGUAUUUUUAGCGAGCUAUUAAAGCUCACCUUUCGCUAGAGCCUGUCUGUGCGCAAGCUCUCCCCGCGAGCAAGGAUAAAUUGGAAACCCUUGAUAACGAUGAAUUAUAGCCAGACUUAGAGAGAACACCUUUGAUCUAAUCUUUGCACCGUAACGAUCCUCCCCGGGGAAUCUUAACGAAUCUUUGCUCAACUUUCGCAGGGAUCUCUCUCCUCGUCCUCUUCUCAGACACGUCGAAACCGAUGAGUCGAUCUUCGUUCACUUUUUUUACAGAAAUCUUUCUUUUCUGCAGUUCGAGAUCCUCUUCCUUCUUGUUUCUCCAAAAAAGAAAACGUAGAAAUCGGUGGAUUUCAAUCGCGAAUGAUAUCUAACCCGGCCAUAGACACGCCCUCGAUUGCAGCCCACUUUCUCCUCUUCCCUCCAACCCCUUCGUUAUAACGAUCUUUGUUCCACGUGAACUUCGUUCGAUUGGAUGUGUUUAGAGGAUGAAGUCGAGAAGAUUGGGUUGGGAUAUAUCUUUCCAGCGUUUGGAAUGGAAUGGAACGUGAAGAUCGAUCGAUGCUUUGCUUGGAUUCCAAACGAGCUUUUAUCUUUCUCAAAUGGAGAUCCCAUUGAAAUAUCUUCGACUUUUGAGGAAAUUUUUGAAACUUCUCCACUUUGCUUAGAAGAGUUGAAUUUUCGUGUAAAGAAACUUCUGUAAGGAAAUUUUGGAUGAGUUAUAAAUAUUUUUCAGCGAAAAGUAAAGAAUCUUCGCUCGAUCCCUUGCGUUGCAAUUUUGUGAAUCGAUAAUUCCUUCUUCUUUUUUCUUUUCCUUUCGAAUCGUCUCGACGUUUGUUUUCUUCGAACGAGCGUCUUUCGUGAGUGAACUCGUUUCGCGAAGCUUUGUCGAGUGCGCGCGUGUUCGCACUCUCUUGACUGGUGUGUGUGCUGGCCCAAGGACGCGGCCGUCAAUUGAAAAGGUCGAUCUUUUUAACAGGCCCUUACUGUCGUUUUUCAUUCAUUGAAAUUCCUUCGAACGACUUCCGCCUCUCGAUUAUUAUCUCGCCAUCUCUGCUUAUCUGCUCCUCUCCUUUAUUUUAUUUUAUUUUAACAAUUAUUCGUCAAUCUCUCUCGUCAGAGACAAAAUUAUUUCAAAUUCAAAUUCUUCUCGUGAUUCGAUCCCUCCAAAUUUUUAUUACUUUCUUGAUUAAUUGCCUCGACAAUGUGCAAAAUGUUUCGAGUAAAAUUUCUUCUCUCUCUCUCUCAUUCGAAACUUUUAACAAAGUUUUAUUGUUACGAUGCAUCGGAUUCUCUUUUUCCCUCGUUUUAUUCCUCGAAAAAGAGUUGUACGGAUAGGUCGGAUCGUGGAAAAUUCUAUGGCGACAUUUCGACCUAUGACCUUCGACCACUUGGGGAGGGACUUGCGCCCUUUGCGAGUUGUUCAGUUACAUAACCACGUCGGUGACGUUCGUGUUCAUUCAACGCUCGCUCAGUAUGGUUAUCGACAGAUCGAUCGCGCGAUACGAUAAACACGGAAAGAAUGAAAUCGUUCCGUCGUGGCCGAUCGCAUCGAUCACCGAUCAUUCCACAUCAUUCUCCAUUUCGUUGUUCGAUUUUUAUUUCGAGUGAUAUCGUUACUCGAAAUUUUGUUCCAGUUUCAGAUCUCAGAUAUUCGAUUUUUAAGCAAUGUCGCUUCUAUAUUCCUUGUUAAUUUUGAUUUAUCGACGAAAAAAUGUCGAAGAAAAUGUCGAGAGCUUCCAUGUUUACUUUUUUCAAAAUAUGUAGUUGAGAGAUCCUUUAUUUUCCUUUGCUAUUUUCGAUCGAUUAAAUCUCGUUUCGAAUCUCGACGAGAAAUGUAAUCUACGAUAUUACAGUGAAGAAAUUCUAUUUAAUGGGGAACGAAAGUUUUGUUUAAAACGAAGCUAAGAUUUUCUGUAGAGGGAUUGAAUAGAGGUGAGAAUUCUAUUGGAGACGGAAGAGAGGAUCCAUGAAUAGCUGUAAGCAUCGGUGAAUUUGUGAAAGGAUAGGCUUUAAAUUAAAUAAUGUCAAACCUCUUUUGAGCGGAAAAUUCUGAAUAACGCUUCUCUCGAUGAAAGUUCAUGGAAUCUGUAAUAAUUUGUAAAAAUCAAAGCUGCUGAAUCCCCUUUAAUAUAAAUACUUCGCGCCAGACUUCAAUCCAAGUCCUUUUUCAACAAGAAUUCGCAUCUACGACACAAUUAGGAUGAUUUAAAAUUAAAAAUUUCUUCUAGCGAAGGAUUUACCGAAAAUUUUUAUUCGAUAUCGCGAUCAAUAACGAUAAAUUUCUCUUUUUUUAUAUAAAUCCUUGGCGCAAAAGCUCGAGGCUUCUUGGAAACAGAAUUAGAAAUCCAUGUUACGAGAUUACAAGAUCCAUCACGACGCCCUAACCCAGAGGCGUGUGUCCUAAGUGUCUCCUUGUCGAUUGCCAUUCAUCCAUCAAUGUCUCUCCUCACUUUCGCAAUUCACGAAUCAACUUCCUCUUGCAAGCGAAUCUAAAAGUUUUCAACACUUCGGUCGAAUAUUAUAGAGAAUCAUAAUCUCUUUCUUUGAACAAUCUUAUCGAUUUCCAACGCCUUCCUGUUUUCGAGCUAAUCAUUCCCAAUUACGCAAUUAUCUCUUCUGGUUUCCUCGUCGAUCAGUUGCAGGGAGACUCCAUUCACAGAAAUUAGAGCAGAUUCGAAAAUUAAAAGAACUAUCCUAGAAAGAAGGUUAGAGUGCGAAAAAUCAAUCAAUCAUAAGAUGAAGAAAGAAGGUGGUUUAACGAAGGAAUUUUAAUUAAUAACAAUUAACAGAUUAACAGAUUUUGGAUUAUUUUCGAAAGUUUGAUCGAUGAAUUAUUAUUAUUUUGAUUGAAUUAUUUUCCCGUUAUUCAGCUCGAUAAUUAACCGAAAUCACGGAGGAAAAGUUAAUCGUGAUUAUUUAAAGAGUAAUCUUCAUCAAUGUCAAGUCAAAAGCAACAUCACAAUAUCCCCGCCCCUCUAAAAUAUUCAUAUUCCGUGGAAACGCGGCUCCAUCUUGGCGCAAGAUACGAUCCUAUAGAGACGCGUUGUUUCGCGUCACGAGUGUAAAAUUAAGCCUCCCGUCCUCGCAUCACACGCCACUUAACGUUUCUCGUCCCGGUUCGCCCCGCAAAACGCUCAUUUCCGUCAGAAGUGUUUCUAACGAGCUCACGAGCGAGAGAUUCAGAAGCAGGGUUCUUUAAGGCGUAGCCCCCCUCCUCCAGGAAAUGUCCUCUCCUUCCUUCCGCCCCUCCCUCGUCGUGUUCAGAUCGCCUUCCUCGUAUCUCGUGGAAAGAUGGAAGAAAAAGAAACCAACGACGGAUUUUUCUUUCCCUCUCUUUGCACGUGCGAUUCGUUUCGACAAAUGUUCGUUUCUGUAUGUAACAAGGAUGUAAUAAUAGGAUUUUUGCUCGCUUUGAUAGGUUUGUUGAGAGGGUUGGGGAUCAGAUUCAUGGGGAAAGGAAUAAUUUAUUAAUCUGAUUGUCGAUGAGAAUUUUAUCUCGGAUUAUUCGUGAACGGUUUACAGAUUGUGACGGUUUGGUUAGGUUAGGAAAAAGGGAUAUGAUUAGGUUAUGAAUGAAACGAGAAUUUUAUCCCGGAUUAUUACAGAAGUGUAUAUCGUAGAUGAUUUAUAGAUUGCAACGGUUAGAAAAAUGGACACGAGGGAUACGGUUAUACGGUGUUAAUAAUUGCUGGAAUAGGUUUCUUUUUUUAAAGGAUAGACUUUCUUGGAGGGAAGUUUGGAAUUGUUAACAGAGUUAACAAAGUUCCAAGAGGCCGUGCAGGAUUUUCGUCGGGGGAGGGGGAGGAAAAGCAUCGAACGUCCAUUAACGAUAGGCUGCGAAGACUCUGAGGGUGGUUGUAGGUGGAAGUGGCGUAGACUAGAUGGCGCCCAAGCUUGCCUUCUCUGGGCUGCCUAUCGAUCCUAACCUAUUUAUAAUUCCUCUGACAUUUCGAUUCGUGUGAUAACGUCGGCCAAUUUCACCCUGACGUGUUCUAUACCUUCCUUUCUUUCCAAUCCCCUUUCUUUUUUUUUCUUCUUCGUCGCGCGCGUUCUCCAACUCCAACCAUUUUGUUCCGUCUUAAUCUCCUUCCGGUUCUCCCUUAGAAAAAGACUUCACGCGAAAAUUGGUUAGAAGAUGCUCCUCAGUCAGAUUUUCUUUUCCUCAGAAGCAUAGAUUCCUCGUGUUCUCUUUCUCUGAGAUAUCUCUCUCUAAUUUCCAGUUAUUUAUCGUUGUGCUUCAUUAUAUUCGACAAGGUGGGAUAGAGUUUGAGUUGCUUGUUUCGUCGAGGAACACGUGUUUCAUUGUGUUUGAUAUUGGAAGAAUAUCGAGUUUGGUAUCUGAGCUUUAAAUAUCUAAGAGAGAUGUAUAUCGUUGUUUGUUUCGACGUAACGGUUACGUGGAAACAUUGAAAGAAUUUAAAAUUGAAAGAAUCAUGGAGAAUUUGUGUUGAAUAAUAAAUAUUGAACGGAAAGUUACGUGAAAAGAUUGGAAUAUCUAUUAUCGUUCUAAUUGAAAGUCACAGUUAAAUUAAACCUGCUCGUCGAACAAGUACGUCCAAGGGGUUAAUAUUCUAACAAAGACUAAUGUAUUUAAAGUUUGACCCAAUUCUCGAUCAAUCUCGUUGCAAACAUUUCAAAUAUAUAUAUAUAUAUUUUUUUCUUCUUUCUCGCGAGAAUUUUUAAUAUAAGGAUAAAUAGAGAUCUUAUUUAAUUUUUAGAAAAAAAUUUACAAUUUUUUAACGACCGAUCUUAAAAUUCUCAGGAAAUCGAAAAUCGAACAAUGCAAUUAAAUGAAUGGAUUCGACCUUCGCCAUCUUUUAUUCGAGCCACUCGACGUAUUUUAAGGGAUGUUAAAUUUCUAACACGACUUUCCUCUUUGAAACUUUUACCACUGUUGGAAACAAGACUUUUUGCAGACUUUUCUCCAGAAGGGGUUGAAUCUCUGUAGUUCCUUCGAAUAGUUGGAUUUAUAUUGUCCACGUGAAAUCUCAAAACUUCAAUUUCGUCGAAUUGAUUCUAGAUUGGGCAAAAUAUCGAAGAAUUCGAAAUAAAUUGUUUUCGUAAUUACAAUUAUUUGUGAAAACAGAUUCUCUUUUUUAACGAUUCGAAUAAUCUCGAUUAUGUAAUUUUUUAAUCGCAAGUAGAUUAAAAAUAGUCAUCAAUUUCUUUCUUUCCCCUCGAUCGUUUCUUAAAUCAAUUUCCAAGGGUGUCGCGAGCAAUUCUAAAUUUGUUUAUUAACGUCGUAGCGAGAAAGGAAGAAAUAAAAUUGAGAAGAAGCCAAGAAUAAUCUCCGAAGGUUUUACAUUGUGUCCUAAUUCGUUCGGAUCGAUCGGAUUUCAAGGACGUCGAUUGCAGUUCCUCCAAUUCCACCAUCUCUAUCUACUAAAAACGGAAGGGAGUAUAAAGUGAAGAGGGUCGAACAAUUAUUUUUCGACCAUUUAUUCUUCCGUAUUAUAUUCAUAAUCUUUUCUCUACAAUCAAGGAUUUCGAAUUACAUCUCCUCUGGAAUUUCGUCAAAAUGAAUAGGACAGCUACGUUCCUCUCUUCGUGUUUUCAAACAACGAAAAUAAAAAUAAUUCCUUCGAGAUUCGAAUUCGAGUUAUUUUUUACAAAAUAAUUUCCUUACGUAUCCAAUAAUUAAUCCUCGUCGCAGAGCCUUCAAUUCUCAAGAUUAAAAACCAAAAAAAGAGAGAGAGAGAAAUGGAACGAAUAAUCAUCGAGAAUCCUCCUCGAGACGUGCUCGUUCAGGAUCGAUAGGUUUCGAUUUCAAGGACAUUGCUGCACUGCUCGACCUUUUUCUCCCUGCUAGAGCAAGAAUCAUUUAGUAUCUCGCGGCCAAUUCCUAUUCACCGCCGCCAUUGAUCGGCGUUUUUCUCGGGAAGCGCGGAUCGAUCGGCCUUCACACCGGAUCGAUAACCACCUCCCUACGUCCGUUUUCGUUGCUUAACCAGGCUCAAUUAUCGCAUCACGUCCAAUGCCCCGCACGAGAAAAUUGAAUAACGACGUGGCUAUGAUAAUUAUUCCGUCCAAACCAUGUCUUAGAAACGUCUGUUUGCCGCUUGAGAUCCGCUUGCGCUUCGUGAUUACUUCUACUUAGGUGGUAAAGAUACAUUUUUCGAUCGAUCAAUGAGAGUAGAAUUGAUCGUGUUUGUUGAUUGCUUAGAGUGAAUGAGAAUCGUACGCUCUGUGCUUGGAUAUUUUAUUUUUUCUAGAUCGCUAUUAUUAUUUCCCUUUUUAAACAUCGUGGAGGAUUGCUUUGUCAUUCGUAGAACUAUUAGCGUACGUUUUUGAUGAAACUAGAAGACUGAUAAAUUUAAAUUUAUUUAAUUUUAUAAAUUGACAGGAUAAUAAAGUGUUUAUCUUCGAAUGUAAUUGUCGUCGAGUAUUAUUUAUUAAAUUGCUAAUUUGGAAGAUUCGAUCGCACAAAAUGGGAUUUCUACGACGCGGAUAGAAUUCCACGAAUCGGAAACCAUUUCGGCCUCGUUGGCGGAAGGAAGAAAAAAACGGGUUGAAAUCACGUGGAAAUCCAAAUGCUGUAAUAGCUCUCUUCAAAGACUUCUGCUUAGGGCGUUUGUGGGUCUUCGUUAAACCAAUGUUUCCCCUUAACGAAGUAAGUCGUCGACGGUCGUUGGCCCGCGAAAGGAUUGCCUAUUCCACGUGACGCGCAAGUAAAGUGAGGUUAUGUUCGUCGAAACGAUCGUCGUCAAUUCAUUUGUAUCGUCAAUUUUUCGAUGAAUGCAAUUUUCUAUUUAUGGAGCAAACCUUUUGUUUUCUUUCGUAAAUUGUUCCAGGCUUUUAAAAAUUUCCAAGAAAAAAUUCAGAAUUAGAUAUAUCGAAAGCGAAAGUUUAAAACAGGAAAUUGUCGAGGAAACUUUGAAUUUUUUGAAAUCAAUAAUGGAAUAAAUAAUUGUGGAGUUCAAGAUAAGCAAACGAAUUUUUACUACGAUAUUGUACGAACUGUGGAGGAAAAAUCGUCUGCUAUUUAUAAACAAAUUUCUCUAUAGUGUAUAUACCUGUUAACGGUAAAUAAUUGAUGGAACAAUAUUUAGGUUUAUCUCUGGUCACUGCAAUCUGUUUUCAGUUUCCAUACGCUGAUACAAUUAGCACGGUUAAAUACGAUUCCAUAUCGAGUGUGUGCCUCGCGUAUCGUCGUUAUGUCAUCGCCGCAUCUCGAUUUACAAACAUUUCCCAGUUUUUAUUAUACGUAACGUAACGUAUAAUAUAUCGCUUUCCAAACGCAAAUCCAAUUUUAGAAGCUCGUUUAAUCGUCGAGAUGCAGCGGAUUUUAUUUACAUCAACGCCUCUCCCUAAAUCGAUUCCAUCGAUCUUUUAUUUGAAAAUCGGCGAAUUCAAACUAUUAUUUAAAAGUCAUGGAAAUUAUGAAACCGAAAAAAAUUUUUCUUCUCAAUCGUACUUUCCAUCUCGAGUUUCUUUAUUUAAAAAAGAGAAGUGUAUAUCACAAAAUGCAAAAUUCGCAUCACGUUAUGCGAAUUGGAGGUGUGCAUAAUUCGGUUAAUCCCAUUGAAUCGCGCCAACACGUAUUGGACACGAUCGUGCAAGGACGGAGUAGUGGUGGUCGUCGUCGUUAAUCCGUGGAACGUUUCGUUUUAUCCGGCUGGCCCUUUUGUGCAUCGAUUUAUUAUGCAAUUGCCCCCUUUUCAUCGGUCAGCAGGGGGAGGGAGAGGGGACCAAGGGAAGGCCGUGAACUAGCUACGGCACUGCCGCCGCACAUGCCGACUUCCCCACUCGAUAACAACCGUUGUAUAAUUCUUUCCUUUCUUCAGCGGUUUACACGAGCGUGCCGUGGCUCGCCAACCGGGGUUAUUCGAAUAAACUUUGUAUUUAAAGUCGAAAAUUCUGACUUGGAUGAACAUCUUCUUUUUCUGCACGCGAGAACAAGAGUUCGAGCGAAAGAAAAAUCGCAAAUUUUGAUUUAUUAAAAAAUUAUUAUAUGCGUAGGUGUAUAACGAGUUGCAAUGUGUGGAGCAAUUUUUUUGAAGAGUCUUUUUUUGAAAUGAAACAAUUCUAAAUUUUGACUCUUCGUUGAAAAAUAAAAGAGAGUUACUCGUUGGAAGGAAAAAAAAGAAAUUGAGAAAUUAAUAAUUAAUGAUUUCGCGAGCCACUGCAGAAUUUUUCCCGCCGAUGAAUGACGAUUAAUAAUGAUAAGGCUCGUUGGAAAAUUAUCAAGAAUUGACGAUUAUGCAUUGUACGAUGUAUUAGAGGCGAGUCGUUGAACUUGGAACUCUUAAUGAAAAGUUUGUCGAUCGAAUGGGUUUCUUGGAAGGGUUCACGGACAGAUGUAUCUUCACUUAUAAUCGUUCCGCACUUGCACAUGACAAUUUCGAGGUUAAGGUCCAUUGGAUUAAUUCGUUCGAUCGUUUUAAUUGGCUAACUCGAGGCUAAACCACUGUGUCUAGCACCGAUAUAAUUGUACAAACGCGAAUAGACACAGCAAAUCAGAAAUGUGCAUUUUCAAUUUUCUUUCCACUUCUUUCUCUUUCUUUUUCUCGAAUAGAAAUUCUCCAAAAUCGACUUAAUUACAUUUCAUCGAUACAAACUUUGUUCCCUUCAUUCGUCUCAAAUGUAUAAUCCAAAAUUGUUCCUUCCUAAUUAUUUACUUCGAUUAAUAAUUCACGCGUUUAUAAUUAUUAUAUAUGUCGAAAUUUCUACAAUUCCAUGUUUGAUAUCCUCGUAAUUACUCAACCAUUCGUUUGAAUAUUAAUGAAAAUUACGAAUUUGCAGAAUACAUAACCUCUCCUACUUUCCAACAGUCGCCGAAAAUUAUUUAUUUAUUUUCGCUCUCUCUGUCUAUAUAUAUAUAUAUAUAAUCAACAACAUGUUAUUGCACUCCGUCUAUUACACAACGCGUCAUAAAUUGUUUCGUGACGUUUCACGCAUCAUUCUAUUCGCGAUCCGCAAUGCCUGCCGAUCAAAGCCGCUGCGUGCGUUCGAAAUACAGCCUUAAAAGUCGUGUCUCGCUUCAGUAGAUAAGGAACACGUUCGUCGGACGAUAAGGAAAGGCAUAGGUUUGAUCUUCUACCAAUUAAUGCCUUCAUACGAUCCAUUUUCCUUUCUUUUAUUUUUCAAAAUAAUUUUUUCAAGUUGCGUAACGUAAAGAAUCGAAGCUUUUCUAUUUUUUUUUUUUUUUAAUUCUCGUUUCGCUCGUCUUAACGCACGGAAUAAUAGAGAAUUAAGUAGUAAUUUUUGGUUGAUGAUAAUUUUUAGGAAAAAAUUAGGAAGCUCAUUUUUGUUACAAAAAAAUUCACCCUUUUUUCUUCUUCUUCAAAAUAAAUUUUUACCAUUAUUAUUUUUCCCAUCGAUUGAAUAAUUUUCCAUUAGUUUCAAUAUCUGGAAAAAAAGCUGAAACAAUUUUCCAACACUUUCUUCAUCAUCCGUUUAAAUCAUCGACAAGUGUUUUCUAUUCUUCUCUCCAAACAAAUAAAUUUGCAUACACGCGUAUUGCGCACGUAUUUCGCAAUGUAUUUAUGUAUAUGCGUGAAAUGUAAAUCGUCCGGCGCACAACUCAAGAAUGUCAAGGUAAAAAACGGCGGGAUAGCCGAUUCGCUGUAUCAACGUUUCCAAAACGUUGAAUAUUUGAACAGUGUCGUUUUGAUAAUUAAUCGACGAAAUUAUUUUUAACCUCGUCGCAGGAAAUCGUGAUACACGCGCGAAUAUAUGGUAGGUCACGCAAGCAUAAUUUUACGCGUUAAUGAUUUCGAGCGAACUAUUCAAUUUGUCACAAAAGAUUUCCUGUAACGAUAUUUUUAUUAACAGAGGAAGAAGCAAUAUUGAACAAAUGUGUGUUAGAUUUAAUUAAUUCUCAUCGAUGAUGGUAACAAGUAGGCAAUAUUUGUUAUAUUUAAAAAUUGUGACAAAGUGAUGGAGUCGAAGAGAAAGUUGCAUUGAUCUUCGUUGUUUGAUGAGGUGCUUUGUAAAGAUGAUCAGAUUUAUUUAUUUAUUUUUUUUUUUUAAGUUAAAAGAAAUUGAAAUAUUAAAAGUUAAAACGAAUCGGUUAAUGUCAAAGUUUUUCCUUUCUCUUCUCGAUGAUAAAUAGUAACCGUUUCAUCUGUUUCAGAAAUUCUAUUUUCGGUAACAUUCUAUUCUUAGUUCUUACUUUGUCGUAUACAUAAGCUCGAAUAUGCUAUUUUCUUAAACGUAUUCACCGAUUUCGAAUAUCACGGUCUCUUUGGCCGUGUUCCAAUCAAUUUUAAAUGGACGAUCGAAUGAUUUGCAAAUGGAUGGAUCAAUAAAAGCAAAAAAAAAAAUACAAAUAUAUAUAUAUUUCAAAAUCUUUUAACUGAGAGUGAACAAUUGAAACGAAAGUCAAGCGCGUAAGAAUCGAAUAACAAAAGUCAAAAGCGAGUACGUUAGAAUUUGAGGUUAGGAAAAAUGGCGGGAAAAACGAAAAGGAAAACGAAUCAACGAAUAAAGCAAAAGAAAA